AUCGAACGCUGGCGGCAGGCCUAAUACAUGCAAGUCGAACGAGUGGCGGACGGGCGAGCAAUGGCUGGGAAACUGCCUGAUGUAGGGGGAAAACUACUGGAAACGGUAGCUAAUACCGCUAACCAUCAGAUGGGCCCAAGUUGGAUUAGCUGGUCGGUGGGGUAACGGCUAACAAAGGCGACGAUCCCUAGCUGGCCUGAGAGGCUGACCGGCCACACUGGGACUGAGACACGGUCCAGACUCCUACGGGAGGCAGCAGUGGGGAAUAUUGCACAAUGGACGCAAGCCUGACGCAGCAAUGCCGCGUGAAUGAAGAAGGCCUUCGGGUUGUAAAAUACUGUCGGCAGGGAAGCGUUAUCUACACAAAAAGCACCGGCUAACUCCGUGCCAGCAGCCGCGGUAAUUC
rnacentral:rRNA from 1 species